AUACAUGGCUGGAUGGUUGAAAAUCCCGAUCUUGACAACUGGUAUAAUUU
rnacentral:tRNA from 1 species